rnacentral:rRNA from 1 species
UACGAAGGGGGCUAGCGUUGCUCGGAAUUACUGGGCGUAAAGGGCGCGUAGGCGGUUUGCACAGUCAGGCGUGAAAUUCCCGGGCUUAACCUGGGGGCUGCGUUUGAUACUCGCAGACUAGAGGAUGGAAGAGGGUCGUGGAAUUCCCAGUGUAGAGGUGAAAUUCGUAGAUAUUGGGAAGAACACCGGUGGCGAAGGCGGCGACCUGGUCCAUUACUGACGCUGAGGCGCGACAGCGUGGGGAGCAAACAGG